UACUAACCACAACCAUAAUAACAAUAAUCAUAGUUUUUAAAAAUGCAUUUUUUCUAAAUUUGAGUGUAUUCGGUGAUUUUAAAAUGAGGUAUAAGGAUAUCAGACACAUUUUUCAAAAGCCUUAAACUUGUUUCUUUAAAUAUUAUACUAACAUCCAACUUGUUUUUUUAAAUAAUGAAAG